rnacentral:rRNA from 1 species
UACGAAGGGGGCUAGCGUUGUUCGGAUUUACUGGGCGUAAAGCGCACGUAGGCGGAUCGUUAAGUCGGGGGUGAAAUCCUGGAGCUCAACUCCAGAACUGCCUUCGAUACUGGCGAUCUAGAGUCCGGAAGAGGUGAGUGGAACUCCUAGUGUAGAGGUGGAAUUCGUAGAUAUUAGGAGGAACACCAAUGGCGAAGGCGGAUCUCUGGGCCGUAACUGACGCUGAGGAGCGAAAGCAUGGGGAGCGAACAGG